GACGAACGCUGGCGGCGUGCUUAACACAUGCAAGUCGAACGGAAAGGCCCUGCUUUUGUGGGGUGCUCGAGUGGCGAACGGGUGAGUAACAAGUGAGUAACCUGCCCUUGACUUUGGGAUAACUUCAGGAAACUGGGGCUAAUACCGGAUAGGAGCUCCUGCUGCAUGGUGGGGGUUGGAAAGUUUCGGCGGUUGGGGAUGGACUCGCGGCUUAUCAGCUUGUUGGUGGGGUAGUGGCUUACCAAGGCCUUGACGGGUAGCCGGCCUGAGAGGGUGACCGGCCACAUUGGGACUGAGAUACGGCCCAGACUCCUACGGGAGGCAGCAGUGGGGAAUAUUGCACAAUGGGCGGAAGCCUGAUGCAGCAACGCCGCGUGCGGGAUGACGGCCUUCGGGUUGUAAACCGCUUUCGCCUGUGACGAAGCGUGAGUGACGGUAAUGGGUAAAGAAGCACCGGCUAACUACGUG
rnacentral:rRNA from 1 species